rnacentral:rRNA from 1 species
UACGUAGGCAGCAAGCGUUGUUCGGAGUUACUGGGCGUAAAGGGUGUGUAGGCGGUUUUUAAGUUUGGUGUGAAAUCUCCCGGCUCAACUGGGAGGGUGCGCCGAAUACUGAAAGACUAGAGUGCGGGAGAGGAAAGUGGAAUUCCUGGUGUAGCGGUGAAAUGCGUAGAUAUCAGGAGGAACACCGGUGGUGUAGACGGCUUUCUGGACCGUAACUGACGCUGAGACACGAAAGCGUGGGUAGCAAACAGG